AUGGUCAUCGCAGGCGAGCCAGAGCCGGAGGAGGUGGCCGUCAUGUUCUCCGAUAGGUUGAGGGCGGAGGAGGAGACCGUCGUCUUCCCCGGCUGGGUGAUGCUGGAUCGCAUCGGCCGCACCCACUGCGACGGCGACCUAGGAGCUGCUCGUGAGGCUGUCAACGGGAACAAGACCGCCGUUCAAGUCGAGAUGGACAGCGGCCACUCCUUCUACGUGUCCUUCACCCUCGCGCCUCCUCCACAAGGGGCCUCUUACCUUGAUCUCCACUGGCCGCUGGAAGGCUCAGCCAAAUCCGUGCCCCCCUACAAGCAGCCUGCCUAUCCCUUCGUCCGGGCAAUCGACAAGGACCUCGUCCUCUUCCACAUCUCCAUCCCGAGCCUGCCUCACCGCAACUUCGUCCCGCCAGAUCUGUUCGUCUACAAUGCCGCUGGUCACCCCCCCUCGGUGCAGCAGCUCCCUCUGUACAGGAGAAGGUCAUUCCUCAGGGUUAACUUCACCACAGGCAUCCUGCGGCGCCAAAACGGCAGCUACAUCGUUUCCGACCUCAAUGUCUACCCAAAAAAGGAGGGCACUGGUAAUAAUUCCAUGUGCGCCGAACUCUGCGUCUUCAACUCCAAUACACGGGCGUGGAGCUUCUUCAGCAAGGAUGCUCCGCAGCCCCAGGACCAGAGCAAUGGCCAGUUCCCCACCCUCUGGUCAACCGACCAUGUGCUUGCUUUUGACGGCCGUUUCCUGUGCUGGGUUGACUACUUCAGCGGUGUCCUGCUAUCCGACUUCUCCAAUCUGCGCUCCCGGGUGCUCCACUUCGUCCCUUUCCCUGGAGAAGGAGAGUACCCUGCUAAGGUACGGGUUCAAAGGUGCUUCCCAGACAGAUUCCGAAGCGUGUCCAUCAGCAACGGCAAGAUGUGCUUCGUCCACAUUGACAAUGACUUCCAUGAGAGAAUCCACACUGGCUCGCAAGGGCAGCAGCCUCGCAAAAAAAUCACCAUUUGGACUUUGAACAUGAUGGAUGGUAACUCCAGGUUCAAGUGGGAGCCACAUCGUGUGAUCUACCUGGAUGGUCUUUUGCCAAAUCCUCACCGUCUUCCCGAGUUCCCUAUCAUCAGCGCAGAUGACCCGGAUGUUCUGUGCUGCCUCUUAAGGAAGGAGGAAUUUCAUGGUGAGGCCUCCAUGGUCAUGAUUGACAUGGAGCAUGCACGUCUGCAGUCGUCUACUCCAUAUAUCAAUCGACAGUCUGUGGAUGAGAAGGCUCACAAAAGCGAGUUUCCUGAUAUGCCCCUACUUCCAACUGUCUUCUCCAAACACAUUGAAAGGUCAACAGCAAACAAAUCACUUGGUUUGGCAAUUUUCUUAUCUGUCAAUGCUGCUCGCAAACAACAUAGUCAGAUGCUCAGAUGGUGUACAUAUGUAUUUUAA
rnacentral:rRNA from 1 species